AGCCCCCAGCAAGCCCCGCACUGGCCCUGCAUCCUCAGCCCCCUCCAGGGCCAGGCAGGUGGGGAGGGAGGGCACAGCCUGGGGCCAGCCCGGCUCAGGUGGUCUCCAGGGCCUAUCCUCUGUGCCUGGAGCUCCGGAGCCCCCAACAGUCACACUCCCAAGGCAGGCUGAAGGUGGGGUGGAGGGAUCAUCUCUCUGACUCUACAAGGUGCCAGCGGUCUGACCCUGGGGCUGCCCUGUGCCCAGCUGAGGCAAGAGCCCAACAUCUGAGUGAUUAAUCUGGAGGUUGCCUGGCCCGAGUGGGAUGUCAUCUUGCUUGGCUCUCAAGGUAACCCUACCAGUGGGCGGGUCCUCCGAUGUCCUCAGUGCCCAGAGGAGGAGACAGGGACAGAGGCCUGAGGCCCCCGGGCCGGUGUGUGGUGGGGACUGACAGGCAGCCCGCUGUUUGGGUCUGCUUGUCUCCCAGCUGUUCCCCUGGCCAGAACCUGGAACCACCCUCGGGCCUUCUCAGCCCACUCCAGGGAAGGCGUUGGUCAGGAGUCCAUGGGGAAGCCAGAAGCCCUGGAGUGGCCACCACCGGCCUCAGGCCCACCCAAACCCAGACAUCACAACCAGCCCCAAAGGCAAGGUUUCAUGAGUCGGGCUUUAAGCAGCUCCCCUGUCACUGGGCCUCAGUUUCCCUAUCUGUGAGAGGGGUCAGGUGAGGUGACUGUCCAUACCCAGUCCUGACCCAUCCCUGCCACCGAUGGGGUUGCUGGGUAGGGCGAGAGAGAGACAGACUCCCAUCACUGUCUGCUCCAGGAGCGCGGGACUGCCGUGACGGGGGCCCCUGCAGCUUCUAAGAGUAAGUGAGGCGUUGAGGAACAGUGACCUGGGUGCUUGUAUUAGGGGAGACGUUUAUUUAUUCUCAGGACAGAACAUCUAAGAAGGAAAAGGGGCACUUUUGGAGCAUCUGAUUGAGCCACCCUGGGGCAGAGGGGCCAGUGUGAGCACAUGCGCACAGUGGUCCUGUGGCCUCACUGCUGAGUCCAUCGAGAGGGAACCCCGGAAAAGCAAUUAAAAAUCGGCUUCACCUACGAGGAGCAGAGUACCAAAAAGGCAAAGGAACAAAGUCCAUCCCUGAACCCCCAGCCCUGACAAGAGAGGCAACACACCCUCAUGACUCAGGGAAGGAGGUAGUGCCCCGGGCUGUUAGCCCCUCACAACCUCCUCGAACACACGGCCCCGGGCUGGAACCGAUCUGGAGAAAGGACACCGCGAGUACUUCUUACCACCCACACGUGUCCAGCGUGGCCCCCAGUCCCGACCUCCUGGAGGCUGCUAGGAGCCCAGGGCGGGGAUGAACCAGAGGACGCUAGGACGAGGGACAGGGAAGGACGUGCCCGCAGACCUGUAAGGGAGUAAGGGACGCCCAGAUUCUGCCCAACCCACCCUGGCCUGGGCUCACAGGCUGGCUCACCUUUUGUGAUGGUGGUGACGGCCGAAAAGGCAGGCCCGAAGGUCGUUUCCAUUCUGGUCUGGACAGAGAACAGAUGAGACUUGGCAUCGACCCCCAGCGAGGAUGUGUACACACACGUGGACGGGCACCGACGCGCUUUCAUAGCACCAUGGUCACGUGCGCGCGUGAGCUCACGCGGACACACGCGGCACAGGCCCUCCACGUAGGGAGGGGACUGCUCUGGAGGCUCUGCGGGGACCCCGGCACACAAGGUAGGACAGUCCCGGUCUGCAGGAUGGAAGGACGCUGGCCACACCCCAGACGACCGGUCGGUGAUGUACCUGGGGCCCAGCCUCUCAGAGGCUCAUCAUGCAGAUAAAGCCCCUUUGGGACAGGGGGAGGAGAUGAGAGUCCUGAUCCCAGACCUUGUGCAGGUCCAACUGUCGACUCAGGACUCACAGGCUGAGGUGGUGGGGAGAAGGCACAGUGGGUAUCAUCCUGGGCCUGCAAGAAUUACUCCCCCCCACCCCACUCCACCCAAGACGAGGGGUCUGGCCAUUAGAGAGGAAAGGGGACCAGCCUGCAGCCACGAUCGUGGAUAGCCUGGGGAAGCCACCCCACUGCCAGGGCGACGCCCACCUUCCCAGGGGCCCUCCUGGGGUCAGCGUCCACGGCAGCGUCUAUCUCCCCUCUGGAGUCAGCUGUAGCCUCGAGGCCCCAGCUUUAAGCCAGGCUCCCCGCGAGGAGGAGCACACGUGAGCUCUCUCCCCAGGAGACCCCUGGGAGGCCACAGCGCGGGCUCAUCACCUGCUGCUAGGCCGGGCCAGCAGAACGAGUGUUGGGAACUCCCGGGGAGGCCGGCACGUCCCGCUCUCGUGGGGCACAAGGGCACAUGCAGGCUGGGGCCCACCCUGUGCUGUGAAGGCCCCCCAUGACUGAGGAGGGGGCUCCGGGUGGAGGGGCUGCUGAGCCAUCUGGCCAUGUCUGCCUCACACACGCCACAGCCACUCGGUGGUCCUGCAACCCAACCUAGGGGUCUACGGGGAGGGGCUGGCUCCCGAGCCGUGUG